rnacentral:lncRNA from 1 species
CCUCACCCGCCUCGCCUUCCUCUCCCGGAAAGUCACCUCCGUCCCCGUCGCCUCCGGCCAGCAGGUGCUGCAGUCCUCCUCCUACGUCCUCCGCGCUAAGCUCGGCUCCCCCGGGCAGCUCCUCCUUCUCGCCCUCGACACCAGCGCCGAUGCCGCCUGGACCUCCUGCUCCCCUUGCUCCACCUGCCCCUCCUCCUCCGCCCUCUUCCUCCCUGCUAACUCCUCCACCUACUCCCCCCUCCCCUGCUACUCCUCCUGGUGCCCCCAGUUCAAGGGCCAGUCCUGCGCCGCCGACUCCGCCCCUUCCCCAUGCACCUACUACCAGCCCUACGGCGGCGACGCUGCCUUCACCGCCACUCUCUCGCAGGACUCCCUCACCCUCGCCUCCGACGUCAUUCCCAACUACCUCUUCGGCUGCGUCACCGCCGUCAACGGCAGCUCGGCCAACCUGCCGAAGCAGGGCCUGCUAGGGUUGGGCCGAGGGCCCAUGUCUCUCUUGGCUCAGACCGGCCCGCUUUACCAGGGCG